CAAAGACAUGCUUAUCGGGUCGAUGUUCCCAAUCAUCGGAAUCAUAGUCAUCAAUCCCGUAGGACUUAAUCUCCCCUUUUUCUCGCAUCUCGUCAUUAAAGUCAUUGUUAACCUUAAAUUUCUUCUUCCAUUUGUUUUCCGAGGACGAAGCCGACACGAUUUCCGAUCUCGAGUACGAUGUUAUCGAUUUUUCACCCUCCGCCACAGUUACACAUGCAGGCGGCGUCGCCAUAGUUUCAGAC
rnacentral:lncRNA from 1 species